AGCAUUCUGAAGCACCAAACGAGGCAAUGAUGCCAAGGACAAUGUGUUAGGGCUCUCCAGAGAAACAAAACCAACAGGAGAGAGAGAGACAGAAAUAGAGAGAGAAAGGGAGAGAUUUAUUAUGAAGAACUAGGUCAUGUCAUUACAGGGGCUGGGAAGUUCCACAGUCCACCAUCGGCCAGCUAGAGACCCAGGAUUACCUGUUGUGUAGCUCCAGUCUGAGCUAGAGGCCUGAGAACCGGCAGAAUUGAUGGUGGCCUCAGUGGCUUCGAGGAGGCCCACCCACUCUGGGGAGGGACAACUGCCUUGCUCAGUCUACAGAUUCACGUGUUAAUCUCAUCCAGAAAGACCCUCACAGACACACCUAGAAUAACGUUUGACCUAACAUCUGGGCACCUAAUGGCUCAGUCAAGUUGACACUUAAAAUUAACCAUCACAGACAAUAAAAG
rnacentral:lncRNA from 1 species